rnacentral:rRNA from 1 species
GACCUGACGACGCAACGCCGCGUGGAGGAUGAAGGUCUUCGGAUUGUAAACUCCUGUUGCCCGGGACGAAUAGCUCCGACCUAACACGUCGGAGUCUGACGGUACCGGGUGAGGAAGCCCCGGCUAACUCUGUGCCAGCAGCCGCGGUAAUACAGAGGGGGCAAGCGUUGUUCGGAAUUACUGGGCGUAAAGGGCGCGUAGGCGGCCCGCUAAGUCGAACGUGAAAUCCCUGGGCUCAACCCAGGAACUGCGUCCGAUACUGGCGGGCUUGAAUCCGGGAGAGGGAUGCGGAAUUCCAGGUGUAGCGGUGAAAUGCGUAGAUAUCUGGAGGAACACCGGUGGCGAAGGCGGCAUCCUGGACCGGUAUUGACGCUGAGGCGCGAAAGCCAGGGGAGCAAACGGGAUUAGAUACCCCGGUAGUCCUGGCCCUAAACGAUGAAUGCUUGGUGUGGCGGGUAUCGAUCCCUGCCGUGCCGAAGCUAACGCAUUAAGCAUUCCGCCUGGGGAGUACGGUCGCAAGGCUG